rnacentral:rRNA from 1 species
UACGUAGGGGGCAAGCGUUGUCCGGAAUCAUUGGGCGUAAAGAGCGUGUAGGCGGCCCGAUAAGUCCGCCGUGAAAGUCCAGGGCUCAACCCUGGAAUGCCGGUGGAAACUGUCGGGCUGGAGUCCAGAAGAGGCGAGUGGAAUUCCUGGUGUAGCGGUGAAAUGCGCAGAUAUCGGGAGGAACACCAAUGGCGAAGGCAGCUCGCUGGGACGGUACUGACGCUGAGACGCGAAAGCGUGGGGAGCGAACAGG